rnacentral:rRNA from 1 species
GACAUCAGGAGGUUAGUGCAAUGGCAUAAGCCAGCUUGACUGCGAGCGUGACGGCGCGAGCAGGUGCGAAAGCAGGUCAUAGUGAUCCGGUGGUUCUGAAUGGAAGGGCCAUCGCUCAACGGAUAAAAGGUACUCCGGGGAUAACAGGCUGAUACCGCCCAAGAGUUCAUAUCGACGGCGGUGUUUGGCACCUCGAUGUCGGCUCAUCACAUCCUGGGGCUGAAGUAGGUCCCAAGGGUAUGGCUGUUCGCCAUUUAAAGUGGUACGCGAGCUGGGUUUAGAACGUCGUGAGACAGUUCGGUCCCUAUCUGCCGUGGGCGCUGGAGAACUGAGGGGGGCUGCUCCUAGUACGAGAGGACCGGAGUGGACGCAUCACUGGUGUUCGGGUUGUCAUGCCAAUGGCACUGCCCGGUAGCUAAAUGCGGAAGAGAUAAGUGCUGAAAGCAUCUAAGCACGAAACUUGCCCCGAGAUGAGUUCUCCCUGAGACUUAAAGUCUCCUGAA